GCCUGGGUGGCUCAGUCGGUUAAGCAUCUGACUUCAGCUCAGGACGUGAUCUCAUAGUCUGUGAGUUCAAGCCCUGUCUCGGGCU
rnacentral:tRNA from 1 species